UUCGCAAUGCCCGAAAGGGUGACGAAGCGACGCCGCGUGCGGGAAGAAGGCCUUCGGGUUGUAAACCGCUGUCGGGAGUUAAGAAAUGCAGAGAUGUGAAUAGCGUCUUUGCUUGACUAAGGCUCCGGAGGAAGCCACGGCUAACUCUGUGCCAGCAGCCGCGGUAAUACAGAGGCGGCAAGCGUUGUUCGGAAUUAUUGGGCGUAAAGAGCACGUAGGCGGCUAUGUAAGUCGGUUGUGAAAGCCUUCCGCUCAACGGGAGAACAGCAUCCGAUACUGCAUGGCUUGAGUGCGGGAGGGGAGAGUGGAACUUCUGGUGGAGCGGUGAAAUGCGUAGAUAUCAGAAGGAACGCCGGCGGCGAAAGCGGCUCUCUGGCCCAUAACUGACGCUGAGUGUGCGAAAGUUAGGGGAGCAAACGGGAUUAGAUACCCCGGUAGUCCGAACUGUAAACGAUGGGCACUAAGUAGAGGGGUUUU
rnacentral:rRNA from 1 species